UGGCUUAGAAGGUAAAGUGUCUGCCUGCAAUGCAGGAGACCCAGGUUCAAUCCCUGG
rnacentral:tRNA from 1 species